rnacentral:rRNA from 1 species
UGAGCAAUCUGCCCUUCUCUUUGGAAUAAGCGUUGGAAACGACGUCUAAUGCCGAAUACGACCUCCUUUCGCAUGAUCGGAGGUGGAAAGCUCCGGCGGAGAAGGAUGAGCUCGCGGCCUAUCAGCUAGUUGGUGUGGGUAAUGGCCCACAAGGCGACGACGGGUAGCCGGCCUGAGAGGGUGACCCGGCCACACGUGGGACUGGGACACGGCCCAGACUCCGUACGGGNGCAGCAGG